GUAGGUGGCAAGCGUUGUCCGGAAUUAUUGGGCGUAAAGCGCGCGCAGGGCGGUCCUUUAAGUCUGAUGUGAAAGCCCACGGCUCAACCGUGGAGGGUCAUUGGAAACUGGGGGACUUGAGUACAGAAGAGGAAAGCGGAAUUCCAAGUGUAGCGGUGAAAUGCGUAGAGAUUUGGAGGAACACCAGUGGCGAAGGCGGCUUUCUGGUCUGUAACUGACGCUGAGGCGCGAAAGCGUGGGGAGCAAACAGGAUUAGAUACCCUGGUAGUCCACGCCGUAAACGAUGAGUGCUAAGUGUUAGGGGGUUUCCGCCCCUUAGUGCUGCAGCUAACGCAUUAAGCACUCCGCCUGGGGAGUACGGCCGUAAAGGCUG
rnacentral:rRNA from 1 species